GGAUGAAUUUAAUGUGUCAAUCAAUGGCCACAGCCACACUGUUUUGAAUUUCAUUCUAUAAUAAAACUUAAUUCAUGAUUGUUAUAAAAAGUCUAUGACUUAAGGAUAAUUUCAAAUCAUUAGCUGUGGAAAGUAGUGAAUUUUGCUUUAAUUAAAAUCUAUUACAGUGACUUGACUGUUAGUGUUGCUCUCCACCAAUUGCAACUCAUUCAAAAUUCUGACCAAAUUGCAAUUUGUUUUAUAAAAUCAAAUUGUUCAACAGGUCAGAUAUUUGAACAAACUGCUGUAGAAAACCACAGCCCAGUCAUGAAAGUGCAAGGUGAUAAAAUAAAACAUACUUACAAUCCUAUAAGACUUUAACUCCAC
rnacentral:lncRNA from 1 species